GGAAUCUUCCGCAAUGGACGAAAGUCUGACGGAGCAACGCCGCGUGAGUGAGGAAGGCCUUCGGGUCGUAAAGCUCUGUUGUGAGGGAAGAAGCGGUACCGUUCGAAUAGGGCGGUACCUUGACGGUACCUCACCAGAAAGCCACGGCUAACUACGUGCCAGCAGCCGCGGUAAUACGUAGGUGGCAAGCGUUGUCCGGAAUUAUUGGGCG
rnacentral:rRNA from 1 species